rnacentral:misc_RNA from 2 species
UCGUAGGGCCUCUGGCCCUGUCGAGAUAGCGUCCUUGCCUAUUUUUUGGAGCACCCUCCGUUUCCUCAGCAGGUCCGCCUGCUACCGGGGACACACAAAACUCUUUGCAAUCAGCAACCGUCUGAAGCAACUACAAAAAAUCA